CCUACGGGAGGCAGCAGUGAGGAAUAUUGGUCAAUGGCCGAGAGGCUGAACCAGCCAAGUCGCGUGAGGGAAGACGGCCCUACGGGUUGUAAACCUCUUUUGUCGGGGAGCAAAGCGAACCACGUGUGGUUCAUUGAGAGUACCCGAAGAAAAAGCAUCGGCUAACUCCGUGCCAGCAGCCGCGGUAAUACGGAGGAUGCGAGCGUUAUCCGGAUUUAUUGGGUUUAAAGGGUGCGCAGGCGGAGGUGCAAGUCAGCGGUCAAAUUGCGGGGCUCAACCCCGUACUGCCGUUGAAACUGCAUCCCUUGAGUGCGCGAGAAGUAUGCGGAAUGCGUGGUGUAGCGGUGAAAUGCAUAGAUAUUACACAGAACACCGAUUGCGAAGGCAGCUUGCUAGGCCGGAUCUGACACUGAUGCACGAAAGCGUGGGGAUCGAACAGGAUUAGAUACCCGGGUAGUC
rnacentral:rRNA from 1 species